rnacentral:tRNA from 1 species
GCGAAUGUAGCUCAGCUGGUAGAGCAUCGGCUUCCCAAGCCGGGGGUCGCGAGUUCGAGUCUCGUCAUUCGCU